rnacentral:pre_miRNA from 1 species
CUAGUACUCCCUCCGUUCUGAAUUACUUGUCUUGGAUUUAUCUAGAUACGGAGGUAUCUAGCACUAAAAUGAGUCUAGAUACAUCCGUAUCUAGACAAAUCCAAGACAAGUAAUUCGAAACGGAAGGAGUACUAG